rnacentral:rRNA from 1 species
CUACGUGCCAGCAGCCGCGGUAAUACGUAGGGCGCGAGCGUUGUCCGGAAUUAUUGGGCGUAAAGAGCUUGUAGGCGGUUUGUCGCGUCUGCUGUGAAAGGCCGGGGCUUAACUCCGUGUAUUGCAGUGGGUACGGGCAGACUAGAGUGCAGUAGGGGAGACUGGAAUUCCUGGUGUAGCGGUGGAAUGCGCAGAUAUCAGGAGGAACACCGAUGGCGAAGGCAGGUCUCUGGGCUGUAACUGACGCUGAGAAGCGAAAGCAUGGGGAGCGAACAGGAUUAGAUACCCUGGUAGUCCAUGCCGUAAACGUUGGGCACUAGGUGUGGGGGACAUUCCACGUUUUCCGCGCCGUAGCUAACGCAUUAAGUGCCCCGCCUGGGGAGUACGGCCGCAAGGCUAAAACUCAAAGAAAUUGACGGGGGCCCGCACAAGCGGCGGAGCAUGCGGAUUAAUUCGAUGCAACGCGAAGAACCUUACCAAGGCUK